AGUCCGGACUCGAAGGCGGCGGCGGCGGCGGCGGCGGCAGCGGGCGCCUCGCGAGGACCCGGGAGCAGCGCAGCGGCGAGCAGAGAACACGCCAGAGAGAAGCCCAGCAAGUGCAUGGUGGAAGGACCGGGACAGGGUUUCACCAUGUUGGCCUGGCUGGUCUGGAACUCCUUACCUCAAGCGAUCCACCCACCUCUGCCUCCUGAAGAGCUGGGAUUACAAUGCUGAUGAGACCACCUUUAUGGAAAUUAAGGAUGCCGAGGACAGUAAAACUGGGAUGUGCUAAUGCAACAGGCAUGCGUAAGUGUAAACUUGCUGUGAUAGACAAAAGCCUGCACGCUCACUGUUCUCAAGAACUAAAUUGCUUACUAGUUUAUUAUGCUAACAAAAAGGAAUGGAUCACCGGAGCUGUCUUUUCUGAUUGUUUUCCCAAACUCUGUACUAGUGGCUCAUGCUCACUGCAGGGAAGCUGAACUGGGUGACAACUGCAAGACUGUAUUAUUCUUUGACAGCAGUUCUGCUCAUCUUCCAGCUGAAAUUCUCAUCAAAAAUAAUGUUUAGGCCAAUAAAUUUCCCCCACCUGUGACUUCAUUAAUUCAGCCAUGCAACCUGGUAUUCUUAUAUCCAUGAAGAAUAAAUAUGCAAGUACUUUCUUGAAUAGCAGGCUAACAGCAGUGAACAAAGGCAUGGAUGCAGAAGGUUUUCUAAAGGAAUUUAGCAUAAAGGAUGCGAUAUGUGCUGUUACCAAUGCUUAGAAUAUAGUGACUAAAAACACUUACUCCUGUUUAUUCUGGUACAACCUCGGACCUAAGACUAUGUUCACUAAUCAUGAUGAACAAGGUCAUGGAUUUGAAGUAUUCCAUAUGUCAAGUGUCCAAAAAAAGACGUCUGACCUCAUUACAUGUGCAAAAAGUAUAUCUUCAGAGUUCAGUAAGCUGGAAGAAGCGAAUGUGUCAGUUCAUAAAAUCAGAGAGAGACUUCUAAGACAAAAACCAUUGUUAGUGAAGCCAAUGACUUUGAAGAAAGCAUUUUACAAAGUCAUGCAGCAGUCUGUUCAUCUCUAGAGGACCCACCCGCUUCCUGGUUUCUUGACUGCUUCUGAUAGUUCUUCUCAUCUAAGAAAGUAAAACACAGUGUGCAAUGCGUUUUAAUCAAACAAAGCAUCCUAGGUGGAGACUGAGAGCCUGCUGCUGUUUAUUGGUGCUGUUGUUUAACAGCUGAUGCAGGUGCCUGGUGCUGCUGCUAUGCUGCUCAAAUACCCUGAACACAUUAUUAUUUAACUGUGUUUAUGACAUGUCCUUUUUUUUUUUACUGUUAAGUACGUAUCUGUGAGUAAGUGUGAGAAAAUUCUUGCUUGCUGGUAGCUUAUAAAUUCAGAGUCAGGAAUAAUGGUGAUGCCAAACAACCACACAUUGUCUACAUGUGUGACAGAGAGAGGGACCUCUUCACUUUGAUAGUUCAAUGUACACAAACUUUGUUUUACGCUCACAGUUAUUUAAAAUAUUGCAUGAAAUUACCUUCAGGCUAUGCAUAUAAGGUGUAUAUAAAACAUAAAUAAAUGUUGUGUUUAGACAUGGGAUCCCAUCCCCAAGAUAUCUCAUUCUGUCUAUAUGUGUAUGCAGAUAUUCCAAAAUCUGAAAAAUUCUGAAAUCUGAAAUACUUUUGUCCUUAAGCAUUUUGUUCUUAAGCAAUGUUAUUUAUGAGCUAACUGAGACAAAUAGAUUUAAGAUGGUUUACUAAAAGUUUCACAGUGAAUUCAUAAGACAGAUAGAGUGGCUGGAAUGAGUUCUUUUUAGAGUCCCAGAAAAAUCUGAAAAAAUAAGAUUAUUUUGUUUAAAAGUAUGAGAACAUUACAUGAGAAGUAGAUUACAUGGUCACACCAGAAAUCACUACUAAGAUACCAUAACUAAUGUAACAGAAGGAAAAUGGAUGAUUUAUACUCAUUAAUUUAUUUAUAGAUAAGUUCAGGUGUUUUAAAGAGUACAUUAUUUAUACAACAUAGUUCACUUGUGAUAUACUGCAAAUAACUAAGUUUCCUUCCUCAGAGCAGAAGAGAAAGGAGCAUUUUAAGUGGAAAUAGGUCUCAAGUAUUAGGAAGGAAGAAAAUGAUUCUUCAGCAUAUAAUUCAUGUUUAAAGGGAUAGUUGAAAAUUUUCCAAACAAAACUUUAAUUGACCAUAUUUUUCCACACAUAGAUAAAAAUCUAAUGAUCUAAUAAAUUUAGCAACUAAUCAAAUAUACAUAUGUAUAGGAACUUGUCUGCAUCUUAUUUAA